ACCCAUGGGAUGGGAGAAAAUAUUUGCAAUCAUAUCUGAUAAGGGGUUAAUAUUCAGAAUAUCUGAAAGAACUCCUAUAAUUCAAUAGCAAAUAAGCAAUCCAGUUUCAUUUAAAAAAUGGGC